rnacentral:rRNA from 1 species
GACGAACGCUGGCGGCGUGCUUAACACAUGCAAGUCGAGCGGUAAGGCCCUUUCGGGGGUACACGAGCGGCGAACGGGUGAGUAACACGUGGGUGACCUGCCUCUAGCUCUGGGAUAAGCCCGGGAAACUGGGUCUAAUACUGGAUAUGACUCCAUGACGCAUGUUGUGGGGUGGAAAGCCUUGUGCGGCUAGAGAUGGGCCCGCGGCCUAUCAGCUUGUUGGUGGGGUGAUGGCCUACCAAGGCGACGACGGGUAGCCGGCCUGAGAGGGCGACCGGCCACACUGGGACUGAGACACGGCCCAGACUCCUACGGGAGGCAGCAGUGGGGAAUCUUGCGCAAUGGGCGAAAGCCUGACGCAGCGACG